rnacentral:lncRNA from 1 species
AGAAAGAUAAAUAUAUAAAGGAGGCGAAGCAAACCUGGUUAGAAAUACGUUCAGACUCAUCACGAGCUAGUUGACCACCUCUCAUCUUGAAGAAAUUCAUCAUAAAGUUCUUCGCAAUAUUUUUUGGGAGAAUAGGCAUGUGUUUAGGAGAAAGCUCCAUGUUCGAAUGCCACAUGUGGGAAGAUUUGCCAAGAACACAAACAUCUUUCUUGCUUAGUGACUUCUCCGACUAAGGGGCAUCCAAGGGGAACAAGGAACACAUAGAAUGUGCAAGGGUUCGGACACCAACGGCAGCACUAAGUUCACCAUACAUCUUUCCACUCUUGCAUAAUCAUUCAGCGCAAACACUAACCCAAUCAUAAAAUUUAAGAACAGUGCAAGAUCCAACAAUGAACUAGGAGGGAGUCAAAUUAAAGAAUUCGAGGGCUCGAAUUAUGUCAUCGUGUAGACCCUUGGCGCUCUUGACAUGACAAGCAUGAUACUUAGAGAAAUCCUUUUGCAAUUUCUCAAGAUCAUCAGUUCUCUUUGAUAGAUCUUUCAUCAGCGCUUUGAUGUUUUUCUUCAUGGCAUCACAAGAUGAAAGAGCAUGGCUAAGCUCCUCGCCUAGUGUUUUCAUCCCAUCUUGAGCUUUGGCAACUUCAUCAGAUUUAGCUUUACCAACGGUUAGCUACUUGCUGAGGGUUUUCUUUGAAGCCAACUAGGAUUCCAAUUCAGCAACACGAGCUUGAAGCGUGGCAACCUCAGAAGAUGAAGUUGCACUUUCCUUUUCUUUGGCAAUCUUGCAAGAGAUACAUCGGGCAGCAACGAAACUCUUCAGAGCAAGAUCCCCACAUGCCUCAACCAUAGUUUCCAAAUUAAGAUUACCAAAUCUGUCUUUCUCAUGCGAGAAGAAAAAACUAUCACCGACCUUGAAAAGAAACUGUCGUUCAUGACCACCACUCCGAAGGGUCCAAAAGUCAAUCAUUUGACCACCAACAAGCUUAGCAUCCUUCGGUGCACUGAUAGGAAGAGCGAUUUCUUUUAGGUCCUCUAGGGUGACCAAGUAACCAUUGCUGUCAGGAUCCAC